UCCUGGUGGCUCAGUUGGUAAAGAGUCUGCCUGCAAUGCAGGAGACCCAGAUUCAAUCCCUGGGUCGGGAA
rnacentral:tRNA from 1 species